rnacentral:misc_RNA from 1 species
GUAGGUGAACCUGCGGAAGGAUCAUUAUUGAAAUAAACUGAUAGGUUGUUGCUGGUUCUCUAGGGAACAUGUGCACACUUGUCAUCUUUAUAUCUCCACCUGUGCACCUUUUGUAGACCUGGAUAUCUCUCUGAGUGCAAGCACUCAGGUUUGAGGAUUGACUUUUUUUGUCUCUUCUUACAUUUCCAGGUCUAUGUGUCUUCAUAUACUCUAAUGUAUGUUAUAGAAUGUAAUAAAUGGGCCUUUGUGCCUAUAAACCUAUACAACUUUCAGCAACGGAUCUCUUGGCUCUC